ensembl:lncRNA LINC03099 long intergenic non-protein coding RNA 3099
AGCCUUUGAUGGGGAGAGUCUGAGAUGGGACCCAGGAACAUCACCAUGAAGCUGUCCAGGAUGGAUGUGGGACCCUCUGUCAGACCAGGCCAGUUCUCUUAAUGUAAGAUCAGCAGGCCAAGGUCCUGGGAUAUGGGAGCUCCCAGGAAGUGGACUGGGAUGCCUGAGGGAUCCAAGAAUUAGCAGUGUCCUGUGUGGUCUCGCUGAGGGAAGCCAGGCAAAAUCUAGCGGCUCAGCUGUAACAGCCGGAGCUCUUGGCUCCCAAGCAACAGGAAACAAUUCUGGCUUAUUUAAGCAGAAAAGGACUUUAUCAAAAGGAUCUUGGGGAACUCACAAAAUAACCAAGAGGGCUGAAGAAUACAGUUGGUGAGUCGACCAAGGAGGCUGCACAGCAGUCAGGACCACAGCCAAAGUCAGGCAAUCCAGGGAUGACCUCGCUGCCAAAUCCAGGACUCCCUGGCAUACACUGCCACCUUGGGACGUGGAUAUGGUCCCUGUCGCCCCAGGAACUGGAAUGCCAUUGACUUGGCGACUGCCACCAUCCACCAGAAUGGACUUCUGUGCUCCUUGCAUCUCUGUAUUAUUAGUUCCCAACUCCAAGCCUUUGAUGGGGGCAUCUGAUGGAUUGAGCCUAAGGAUUCUGAUGGUGCCUGUUGGCUGCUUCCGUGAUGUCUGGAGUUGCAAAAUGUGCCAGAAAGCAGAAGGAUACACCGCUAUUCAGAGAGGAUUUUCUUAGGGACUUGAAGAAAUUGACCUCAAAAUUUCAGUAGAUGAGAGGACUGUGGCUGGCCUGUGUCUUUGGCACUGGUUGUUGGAGCCCAAUGAAAAAUUCUACAUUGAAGACUAAGGGAAAAAGAGGUUUCAUUAUAGAGCUGGGACUGAUUGCAUUUUCAAAAGGUGGCUGCAACAAUAUCCCACACACUUUUCUGCUGUAUAAUCUGCCACUUCUCCAUCAAGUAGAGGAGACAAUUUCUCCCCUCCUUUGAAUCUGAGUGAGUUCUGUGACUGUUUUGACUGAUAGAAUGAUGUGGAAGACAGACUGUGUGACCUGAAAGGUGAGGUCACAGAAAGCCUUGCAACUUCCACCUGGCCUGUGAAGAACACUUGCUCUUGGGAUACUCCUUCUUGGAACCCAGCCACCAUGCUGUAAGAAGCCCAAUCUACAUGCAGACACCACAUAUAAGGCAUCGUAGUCAACAGCCACAGUUAAGUUCCCAGCCGGCAGCCAACAUCAACUACCAGUCUUGUGAGUGAGCUAUCUUGGACAUCCAGCUUGGUUAAACCUUCAGAUGACUCCAGCCCCAGCUGACACCUGACUGCAACCACAUGAGAAACCAGGAAUGAAAAUCCACCAGCUGAGCCCAGUCAACUCAUAGAACUGUGAGAGAUAAUAAUAAGUUGUGGUACUAAGCCACUAGGAUUGGGGCACCAUGCAAUAAUAGGUAACCAAGACAGUAGCAACUUUGGUUAGACACAUGAGCCAUGGGAUGACACAUAAUUAGGUAUAUUUUUAAAAACUUGGAUUCAGCUUUAGGGCAAUGUGUCCCUAACAUAGAGAGGCACUAUUUCAGUUCACAUCUGCUGCCUCUGAUCAAAACACUCUCUUGCACUUCCAGAGAGAGAGAGAGAGAGAGCAAAUGUGUGUAUUUACUGACAGGUGUCCCUUUGUGUCCCCAUCUGUGUGACUGUGGAGCUCAGUGUCUCUCACACAUUCUAGUAUGAUACUUGGUGCCAUAUUUGCAGGUCCUGAGGUAAGAACCCAUGCUGUUGUCUUCAGAGAGUUUCAUGGGUUGGACUGUGCCAUAUAUGGGCAAAAAUCCACCCACACGUUUUCUUUUAAUCACCUUUAUGGAUGUAUAAUUUACAUAUAUACUUUUUUCUUAUUACUUUUUAUUUAUGUAAUUUAUUCAUUUUUUGAGAUAGGGUCUCACUCUCUUGCCCAGGCUGGAGUGCAGUGGAGUGAUCAUGGCUCACUGCAGCCUUGACCUCCUGGGCUUAAGCAAUCCUCCCACUUCAGCCACCUGAGUAGCUGGGACCACAGGCACACACCACCACUCCUGGCUAAUUUAAAAAGUUGUUUUUUUUUUUUUUUUUGUAGAGACAGGGUCUCACUAUGUUGUCAAGGCUGGUCUCAAACUCCUGGGCUCAAGCGAUCCUAGUGCCUCAGCCUUCCAAAGUUCCGGGAUUACAAGCAUGAGCCACCAUGCCUGGCAUCUUUUGUGGAUGUGUAAUUUACAUACGUACAAUAAUAUGUACCUAUUUUAAGUAUACAGUUUGAUGAGCUUUGACGAAUGUAGCCCACGAAACCACCACCAUAAUCGAAGUAUAGAACUUUUUUUUUUUUUUUUUUUGAGACGAAGUCUCUCUCUUGUCACCCAGGCUGGAGUGCAAUGGCAUGAUCCCGGCUCACUGAAACUUCCGCCUCCCAGGUUCAAGCGAUUCUCCUGCCUCAGCCUCCUGAGUAGCUGGGAUUACAGGCACCUGCCACCACGCCCAGCUAAUUUUUGUAUUUUUAGUAGAGACAGGGUUUCACCAUGCUGGCCAGGCUGGUCUCGAGCUCCUGACCUCAGGUGAUCCCCCCUCCUCGGCCUCCCAAAGUGCUGGGAUUACAGGCAUGAGCCACUGCGCCCGGCCUAUAGAACAUUUUAAUCACCCCAGAGAUGUGCCCCCUGUGCAGCCAGUUCCCUCCUCUCACCCCCCAGCCCCUGGCAAGCAUUGAUUUGCUUUGCCACUAUCAAUCAAUUUUUGUCUUUUCUGGUAUUUCAUAUGAAUGGAAUCAUAUAGGAUAGAUUUUUAUGUGACUACACACUAUUUUAGCAUAAUAUUUUUGAAGUUCUUCCAUGUUGUUGUGUAUAUCUAUAGUUAAUUUCUUUUUCUCACUGAAUUGUAUACCACUGUAUGAUGUAUCACAAUUUGUUUAUUCAUUCUCCCGUUGCUGGACAUUUGGACUGUUUAUUGUUUGGGGCUACUAUGAAUAAAACUGCUAUGGAUGUUUAUGUA